GGAGAAGGCCUUUGAUGGGCUCUGUUCCAAGGCUGAGCAGAUAACAAAUGCAGGCUCAUUCUUCACUCAACGAUACUAAGUGGGGGCACAGAGCUAGGCGCUGAGAUGCAGGGUAAACAGCACAGAAGGUUCCCACGCAGGCAACCCUCUCUGCAGGGGAGAAAGACUAUGACCAGGCACACAAAGGCAUCAGCCAGGGGUGUACUGAGGAGUUUUCCAGAGGCCACAGAAUGCAUGCUAUCACAACAGACAGAAAACAGAAGCAAAGAGGAGAAUCCAGAUGUCUUCUAUUAAGCCAGGCAUUAAAGAGACUUGCAGAAAUGUGCAAGAUCAAUUUUUUUCUAUGUUUUGGAAAACAGAGUUAUUGUUCAUAGAAAACUAUGUUAGUUAUGCAUAUAUGCAAUGGGUUUAUUCAAGAAGUAUAUAUUGAAAGCAUUUCUUAGUUUUAAUUUCUAAUGUCAUAAAUAUCUAUAAAUAUAAUCUAUCUAAAUGAAAGCUCUUUAAGUUCUGUAAUACUUUUUAAGCAGAUAAACACGUGGGUGCUGAGGCUAAAACUCUGAGAAAUGCUAGCUUAGAGGAG
rnacentral:lncRNA from 1 species